GGGGAUGUGGUGGGGGGCAGCCAUGGGGGGAGUGGGGGGCAGCCGUGGGGUGUUGGGGGUCGGUGCCACCCAUGGCCGUGAGCGAGGCCAGCUGAGCCUCCACUGCCACCUCCCUCCGAGGAGGGACAGGCCGAGGUGCCCCCACAGCCCCCCAUGUCCGUCCGUCUGUCCCGCGGGACCGGGCACUUGUCCACACCUGCACGUCCCGUAACUCCCCCUUCAGCAAACGCUGAGGCGACCUAGGAGAGGAAAAAAGAUAAAUAUGCUGCUGAUAAACACCGGAGUCGCAAUACAGACAACACAGGCUUACAUUCUUUGUGUAACCAACGAACAAUAACCCAUUUCUCAAGAAUUUAUCUUGGACCACAUUAAAAUCCCACUUCACUUGCCUACAUUAGUACUUUAAAAGGUGGUAAAAAUAAGCUUUAUUUUUAAGUCUUAAAUAGGAUGGGCUCCUUCCUGGCCGUAGGGAAAACUGGUUUUAGCGCUUGCUUGCCCCUUAGGGCAGGGAUCUUCCUUUCCUUGCCUGUUGCUCACCCUGUGUCGAGGAAUAUAUAAAAAAAAGCCGCGCGAUACACUUAUCCGGAGAGCGUUUCCCUUCCAACGCGUGAUCCCUGGCAGCCUGGCGCUGGGCUGCCGUGAAAUAUCGCGGCAAUAAAAAAUAUAUCAGGGCGAGCGUCGCUGUGUCCGACUCCCGUUCAAGCAGCAGAA